CAGUCGCCGCGGUAAUACGUAGGUGGCAAGCGUUGUCCGGAAUUAUUGGGCGUAAAGGGCUCGCAGGCGGUUUCUUAAGUCUGAUGUGAAAGCCCCCGGCUCAACCGGGGAGGGUCAUUGGAAACUGGGAAACUUGAGUGCAGAAGAGGAGAGUGGAAUUCCACGUGUAGCGGUGAAAUGCGUAGAGAUGUGGAGGAACACCGGUGGCGAAAGCGGCUCUCUGGCUUGUAACUGACGCUGAGGCUCGAAAGCGUGGGGAGCAAACAGGAUUAGAGACCCGCGUAGUCCCUGUCUCUUAUAC
rnacentral:rRNA from 1 species